UGCUUGUCUAUACUCUUGGGAAGGCUUCAUCGAGAUUAAUCACAUCCGGUGCAGAAGUUCUGAUGUUCUGUUUUUCCGUGGCUCAGGUAUGUGCGGAAGUGAACAUGGCCGUGUGGAGUCCAGAGGACCUAACACACACAUCUCAAGUGUUGGGGUAGACCAGCUGUCAGGGGGCUGAGGGCUGGGUUAUCCAACACGGCUGGGUCCCAGGGCUAACACACAACACCUAGGUUUACAAACGCAGCACACAGGUAUCCACAUUCUUCCCGAACGAGCCUUCAGCAUCAGACUGUGCGCAUAGACUCACUUUACAGUAAGAAAAAAGUGCAUAAAAUCGUUUUGUGACUCUGUGAAUAACAUUGAUGUUUUUACAAGCAUUGCAGUCCUACUAUAAGCAUAAAUGUCUCCUUACAGGAGAGUAGAGGGGAGCUGUGGGUGACUCAUUCAUAAAUAAAUGUAUACAUGUAAGAGAGAUGUCCACGAGGCUUGUUUUUUCCUGGAAGGUGGGUCCACAUCUUUCCAGAUUCAGGUUCACACCAGGUGCGUUUCAUUAUAGGUUCACGUCAAGGUUGCACGGACAUAAAAAGAAAUGUCUGUGGUUGGCGUUGCUAGAAGGCUGUGUGUGUGAAAUUGUUGAUGAGAGUUGCCUGAUUGUCCUCCAUAUAGGCUGUGCCAAUCCAUGAUAUUCUCAGUGAUGUCUCAGAUAUCUUCCAAAAACCCUCCUGGCUUUAUGGGUCCUUGCCACUGUUAGUUGAAAACACGGUAUGAAAUCAACGGUUUUACCUUGCAGUUCUCUUAACACAGGUGAGAUUGGGAAUGUGUGUAUGGAAAAAUCACUUAUACGGCCAUUUCUGGGGGACCCGUUUGAGAUGCCCGUUGCCCGUUUUUAUAUGCAUUAUUGGCCCUGCUGUUAUUGAUUCGUGGGAACUCUUUACAUAUUAAAGAUAGUGCCGUUUUUGUUGUGAA